AGCGAACGCUGGCGGUAGGCUUAACACAUGCAAGUCGAGCGGGCACUUCGGUGUCAGCGGCAGACGGGUGAGUAACACGUGGGAACGUACCCUUCGGUUCGGAAUAACGCUGGGAAACUAGCGCUAAUACCGGAUACGCCCUUUUGGGGAAAGGUUUACUGCUGAAGGAUCGGCCCGCGUCUGAUUAGCUAGUUGGUGGGGUAAUGGCCUACCAAGGCGACGAUCAGUAGCUGGUCUGAGAGGAUGAUCAGCCACACUGGGACUGAGACACGGCCCAGACUCCUACGGGAGGCAGCAGUGGGGAAUAUUGGACAAUGGGCGCAAGCCUGAUCCAGCCAUGCCGCGUGAGUGAUGAAGGCCUUAGGGUUGUAAAGCUCUUUUGUCCGGGACGAUAAUGACGGUACCGGAAGAAUAAGCCCCGGCUAACUUCGUG
rnacentral:rRNA from 1 species